rnacentral:rRNA from 1 species
UACAGAGGUCCCAAGCGUUGUUCGGAUUCACUGGGCGUAAAGGGUGCGUAGGUGGCGGGGUAAGUCGGAUGUGAAAUCUCGGAGCUCAACUCCGAAACGGCAUUGGAAACUGCCCUGCUCGAGGGUCGGAGGGGGGACUGGAAUUCUCGGUGUAGCGGUGAAAUGCGUAGAUAUCGAGAGGAACACCAGUGGCGAAGGCGAGUCCCUGGACGACUCCUGACACCGAGGCGCGAAAGCUAGGGGAG